rnacentral:rRNA from 1 species
AGGGUUUGAUUAUGGCUCAGGACGAACGCUGGCGGCGUGCCUAAUACAUGCAAGUCGAGCGAGCGGAACCAACAGAUUUACUUCGGUAAUGACGUUGGGAAAGCGAGCGGCGGAUGGGUGAGUAACACGUGGGGAACCUGCCCCUAAGUCUGGGAUACCAUUUGGAAACAGGUGCUAAUACCGGAUAAUAAAGCAGAUCGCAUGAUCAGCUUUUGAAAGGCGGCGUAAGCUGUCGCUAAGGGAUGGCCCCGCGGUGCAUUAGCUAGUUGGUAAGGUAACGGCUUACCAAGGCGACGAUGCAUAGCCGAGUUGAGAGACUGAUCGGCCACAUUGGGACUGAGACACGGCCCAA